AACAAUAUGGGCCAGCCCUUCACGAGAAAAAAUUGCUUAGGAAAUUAGGGUAUUGAACGAAAUAGCAGCUAGAAGAAAUAAUUCCGUUCCCUUACAAUAACACCGCCAGUCUCAUCUGUAGGAUCGGCGCCAACAGGGAGAACCAACAUGAGAGCUAAGUGGAAGAAGAAGCGAAUGAGGAGGUUGAAGAGGAAGCGCCGAAAGAUGAGACAAAGAUCUAAGUAGAGGAGGAUAGUGAGAAGGCUUCUUUUGCAUGAACCAUUUCUUCUUAACUGGCUGCCUAACGACCAAGAAAAGUGGAAGAAAGUUCUGUUGAUGGGGCUGUCUUGUUUGUUCCUACUCUCGUGUUUUGUAGUUUCAUCUUUGUGGAAGUUUAGGUUAACUUGCGAGCUUUUACUGUCUACUUUCAUGUUACCGAACUAAAAGAGCACAUGACAUUUGUAUUAAAUCCGUUUAUGAAUAGAUGCAUGGGCGUUUCGGAUAUCA